CCAUUGUCCCGCCCAGGCCCGGCAGCCGCCUCGCCACCCCUCUCCGGGUGAUGGCGGCCGGGGAUCCGGGCCUGGCGGCCCACGGCCCAGACCGACCGAGCCCGCGCGGGAGCAGGCUGCCCCGGGGGGUUCUCCCCCGAAGACUGCAGGCUGGGGGACCCCCCAGAAUGGACUCUCACGCCUGAUAACAAAUGUUCGUGCUCAAAAUCCAGGCUGAGGGCCACCCAGUUUCUAGGCCCAGAUGAAUCAGAGCUUGGCCUGCCCUCAGGGAGCUCCCAGUCGCCCGAGAAGGACACACACAGAAACAUCCUCUGUAUUCCCGGAAGCGUUCCAACUCCAUAAAUACCAACUGAGACCCUGCUACGCUUCAGACACUGCUGAUUGGCUCGGAGCACUGCUAUGAACAAGUUGGACCAAGCUCCUGCCUGCCUGCAUGGAGAGUCCAGUUUAGCACAGGUUGGCAAACGCUGGGGGCAACUGGAGGACAGGACCCAGAGAAGCUGUUUGUUCUCGGGCCUCAAGUGCAGUGUCCUGCACAGGGCAGAAGCACUUUAUGUGGCAUGAGAUAGAAUUACAAGACACAAGGCCCCAAGGGAGAACACAGAGGAUAUCACUCUAGCAGGGUGGGUACGGUUUUCAGAAAGGGGCUGUGGGAUGAGGCAGGUGGGGAAGAAAGGAGGCCUUCCAGCUCCCAGAAAUGAGAGUGGUAAAAGCACCGACUCAGCCUGGAGCAGCCCCCUAACAUGAGACAUCAGUAAAUGGGGAUGAAAAGACAAACCACCUGUGCAGAAUCGGGAGUGAGUUCCCUUCUCCCCAGGCCUGGGCUGUGCCUAGUACCUCCAUCCAAAGAACAUGGCAGGCAGAAGGACUCUACAGUGGAAAAGCUGACAACUGCUGCGUCAGCCAAGAGAUCAAGGGCGUCAGUAACUGUGAAUCACGUCUGUAGUAUGCACACUUGAUAUUAUGUGAUAAAAAUGACACUUCGGGGUCUUCCUCCCAAAAACCCAUAAGCCAAGGCUUGCCGUGGGAAAAACAACAGUGGAGCACCCAACAAAAUACCGGACUGAUACUCUUCAAAACUGUCAAGAUCAUCAAAAGCAAGGAAAGUCUGAGAAACUGUCACAGCGCAGAGAAGCCCGAAGAAACCUGACCGCUGAAUGUAAGGUGGUAUCCUAGAUACAAUGCUGGAAAAGAAAAAAAGGGGGCAUUAAAAACUAAAUAAAUUGAAAUAAGCUAUAGA